GGUUUUUCUGUGUAGCCCUGGCUGUCCUGGAACUCACUCUGUGGACCAGGCUGGCCUUGAAUUCACAAAGAUCCACCUGCUUCUGCCUCCCAAGUGCUGGAAUUAAAGGCCUGCACCAACACUGCCC
rnacentral:miRNA from 1 species